GGUAUCCAAUGUGGAAAAAUGAGGACCACAGUCCAGUCAUAUGAUUAUGCUCCACUGACUCCUGCUUUGCAACUGCAAGGGAAGAGGCUAUGAAACAUGUGCUGGGUUUCUGAACAAACCACUCCAGAAUGUGGCACUUUGGCACAGUAAAGAUUUUAAGCAGAAGGAAUUGGAGAAACGGCAGGUGCAAGAAAGACUCCCUCACCUUUCACUGAAGCAGGUCGUAGGACGCUUCUGCGAGAGAUGCCCUCCCAGUGCCCAGAAGAAAAGAGCAUGCUUAUCUCGCGGGCACAGGACUGCCGGAGGAAUGUGGCCUUGCAGAGUGUCCCAGAGGCCCCAGCCAGUGAAACUGAGGUGGGUAGAAGGGAAAGACUUUUCCUCCAGGACACCACCCAGAGCCCUUCACCCAGGCGGGGCUGCAGAGCGUCUCACAGCCCAGAAGACCAAAGGCCUGCGCCCGCCUCAGCCUCCGCCUGCCUCCCCGGGCAGUCCGCAUCCUUCCUCAGCAGCCUGAGCCUGGGCAGUGGCUCCAGCUGAC